CCUACGGGAGGCAGCAGUGAGGAAUAUUGGUCAAUGGUCGGGAGACUGAACCAGCCAAGCCGCGUGAGGGAUGAAGGUACAGAGUAUCGUAAACCUCUUUUGUCAGGGAACAAAGGCGGGGACGCGUCCCCGGAUGAGUGUACCUGAAGAAAACGCAUCGACUAACUCCGUGCCAGCAGCCGCGGUAAUACGGAGGAUGCGAGCGUUAUCCGGAUUUAUGGGGUUAAAAGGGUGCGCAGGCGGUCUGUUAAGUCAGCGGUCAAAGCCCGGGGCUCAACCCCGGCCCGCCGUUGAAACUGGCAGUCUCGAGUUGGAGAGAAGGAUGCGGAAUGCGCGGUGUAGCGGUGAAAUGCAUAGAUAUCGCGCAGAACUCCGAUUGCGAAGGCAGCAUGCCGGCUCCACACUGACGCUGAGGCACGAAAGCGUGGGUAUCGAACAGGAUUAGAUACCCGGGUAGUC
rnacentral:rRNA from 1 species